rnacentral:rRNA from 1 species
AGCGUAAGCGAAGCUCCUGAUCGAAGCCCCAGUAAACGGCGGCCGUAACUAUAACGGUCCUAAGGUAGCGAAAUUCCUUGUCGGGUAAGUUCCGACCUGCACGAAUGGCGUAAUGAUGGCCAGGCUGUCUCCACCCGAGACUCAGUGAAAUUGAACUCGCUGUGAAGAUGCAGUGUACCCGCGGCAAGACGGAAAGACCCCGUGAACCUUUACUAUAGCUUGACACUGAACAUUGAGCCUUGAUGUGUAGGAUAGGUGGGAGGCUUUGAAGUGUGGACGCCAGUCUGCAUGGAGCCAACCUUGAAAUACCACCCUUUAACGUUUGAUGUUCUAACCUAGGCCCAUAAACUGGGUCGGGGACCGUGUCUGGUGGGUAGUUUGACUGGGGCGGUCUCCUCCUAAAGAGUAACGGAGGAGCACGAAGGUUGGCUAAGCAUGGUCGGACAUCAUGCGGUUAGUGCAAAGGCAUAAGCCAGCUUGACUGCGAGAGUGACGGCUCGAGCAGGUACGAAAGUAGGUCUUAGUGAUCCGGUGGUUCUGAAUGGAAGGGCCAUCGCUCAACGGAUAAAAGGUACUCCGGGGAUAACAGGCUGAUACCGCCCAAGAGUUCAUAUCGACGGCGGUGUUUGGCACCUCGAUGUCGGCUCAUCACAUCCUGGGGCUGAAGUAGGUCCCAAGGGUAUGGCUGUUCGCCAUUUAAAGUGGUACGCGAGCUGGGUUUAGAACGUCGUGAGACAGUUCGGUCCCUAUCUGCCGUGGGCGUUGGAAGAUUGAGAGGGGUUGCUCCUAGUACGAGAGGACCGGAGUGAACGCACCACUGGUGUUCGGGUUGUCAUGCCAAUGGCAUUGCCCGGUAGCUAAGUGCGGAAGAGAUAACCGCUGAAAGCAUCUAAGCGGGAAACUUGCCUCGAGAUGAGUCUUCCCUGUCGCUUUAAGCGACCUAAAGGAACGUUUAAGACUAAGACGUUGAUAGGCUGGGUGUGUAAGCGUAGCGAUACGUUGAGCUAACCAGUACUAAUGAACCGUGAGGCUUAACCUG